ACCUGGGCGGGGGUGUCACCUCGUGUCACAUCAGCCACCAGCGGUUCCGUCCUUUCUGCUGGGAGCCAUGCGGGUGACAGCAUGACACACACCCCAACCCCCGCGAGGUGUCACAGACACGGGGAGAAGCCACCUGGGGCGGCCACCCUCUGUGACACCUUUUGUUCCCAUCACCCGCGAGUGGCUCCACCGGGUCCCAAGUGUCUUGUGGAGACCCUGAAGCGUGAAGCAAAGAGCCUGAGACCAGGAGCUGCUCAGAAAACAGAAGAAGGGGGUCAGCAGCGAGACACCCAUCCCAGCACCCUCCCAGUGUUUGGGGCUGCCCAGAGGGGACAGCCAGAAGAUGUGGGGAGCCCGAGCCAGAAGAAGAUCCCGCUGGCCACGGGCAGGGACAGGCUCCCAUGCUCCGCCAGCGUCAGGAUGAUCCCGAAACAGAUGUGGAUGAUCCCGCUGAAGAUGUGGAUGAUCUGGGGGAAGGACGAGUGAGAAGGGCCCCCCCGUCUGGAUGUCACCAUUGCUGUUGGCUGUGUCCCACCCCGAGGCCACCAUCACACCAUGGUGACGAGAAGGGACUGGGGACAGCUGGCACUGGGCACAGCAGCACAAGCUGGUCCCAAACAUCCCAUCUCCCCCAGGAGAACCUCCAGAACCACCCGCCGGGGAGAACCUCAAACAGGACAAUCCUCAGACCCCGUUUUGUCCCCGAGGUGCCCCGUCCCCCCGCAGGGGACCCCGCAUCUCACCCCCAGCACUUUGGGCUGAGCUCUGCGGAAGCCCCGGACCCGAAACGACGUCCCGGCGGGCGCGGGGGGCUGGGAGCCGGCGGCCAGCUGUGCUGCGCGGGGAUCGCUGGCCGGGAUCACCUCGGUGAUGAUCCUCACGCCGCCCGAGUCGGUCACCGCCGUGGCUGCCAUAGCGGCCCCUUCGCUCCCCGAGUGUCCCCGGGAGGUGGUGGCCGGCAGGGACGCGAUCCCGCCGCCCUUUGCUCCUUCGAUGGAAAUCUCGUCAGGCUCCUCUUGCUCAACGAGGGAUUUUUGCCAACGGAGGGGAGAGAGUUUGGGAAACACCCCGUGAGGGGUUGGGCGAGUGUACCUCAAGAUGGGGAAUAAAGGGAGGAAAACAGGACACGACACAAAUAUUAUAAACCCCGCUGGUCUAUAAAGGUCUCAAGAAAACUA